CCCCGCGGAUCCCCCCUCUCCUGGGAGAAGAGCCGCCAUCGGGCCCGCCGCGGGAAGCGGAGCCGGGCGCCGUUCCCCCUCCGCGACGGGCCUGGGCAGCGGAACGUCCCGUCGGGCCUGCGGGCGGAGGAGGGAGCGCGGGGCGUUCCGGCUGCUGCCGGCAGCUCCGCCCUCCUGCCGGCCCGCUGCCCGCGGCAGGAGGGGCUGCGAGAGGGGCUGAGGGGAGCCGGGACAGCGGCCUGAGCCUCUCCUGAUCUCACCCCGGGAGGCGGGGGAAGGAAGGCAAGAUGUGCUUCUGAAGGAGGGGAAAGGGAGCAUGCUCCUUCUGCAUCUUCUCCAGGCAACAGGUGAAAGAGCUUCAACUCCUCAUGAAAGACAGCAAGAGUCAGCUCCUGCUCCAAGCACACAGGCAAGUCAGUAUGUGAACACAUGGAUUUUGUCAGUGCUCCCCCUCGGCCAGAUCUAUGUCCUACAACCAAAGGAUCAAGCAGUGUGAAAUGUUCUCACUGCCCUGUGUGCUUCCUAUCUGCUGUGAUGUAGAGAAUUCAGGGACAGAAACAGAGUCAUCAAAGAGCUGCCAUCAGAGGUUUGCUUAGCUCACUAGCAAUUGCUGCUUCAAGCCACCUAUCAAUACCAGCUCCACUCUCAAAUGUUGAUCCAAGUGUCACACGCAUAUCUCAUGUUUAAUUUUAUUAUAUCACAAAGCAGGUAGCCAAUAUAUGCAAAAUGACUGUUUUGAAAAAUAUUUCAGCAGUGUAUUUAUUGAUAAUUAGUACUGAUAGAGAGUACCUGUGGUGGCAAGGCAGAGCAGUGUCAGUUACUAUAUUUAUGAAUUGUGUCUCACAAGAAAAUCACUCUUUAAAUCCAUCAGAUGAUAAGCUUGAAUUCAGUUUUAAUGGAACUUCUAAUCCUUGUGGUUUUGUCUUAUAUUUUGAAAUAAAAUAUUUCCUUGCUUAAACUGAACUUUCUCUAAAUGUUGCAAUAAGAUAACUAAGCAUUAUCUCUCUAAGUGUAGCAUUUCUUGGUUUGGACAGUAAACAGACUGGGUUGUUUCCAUUUCAGUAACACUGAUUUCAUUUUUAGGUUUUCUUUCAUAUUAGACAUAAAGUGAAGUUUAAAGUGUCUGCUCUGCAAUAUGAUACUUUUUUAGAGCACUAAUCCUGAGGUAUUUGUAAUAAUUAUAUAUUUUAUAAUAAUUCUAUGAAUUGUAUAUAUUAAUUCUGUAUUUGAGAUAAAGUAGUCUGGGUGGAAAUAGAAAUAAAAUUGUUCACCAAUA